UGUUCGCGAAUUGAAUUAAUGCCCAUCUCAAUGUUUUCAGCUACGUCCGCACGAAUUGAAUCACUUAGAGUCCUGAGUUUAAUAGCACGUUCGUGAACCCUUAAAAUAGAAUCUUUAACGUAUUCAAAUAGAUCCAUAAUUGCCUGAUCGUAAUUAGAUUCUUCGGCUUUUUGAAUAAGAUUUCCUAAGGAAUUCUCAACUGCCAAUACACGAAGGUUAGAGAUCUCUUCAAAUGCUUCAAGUUCCUUUUGACAACUAUCGGUAGCCUUACGAAGAAGAUCUUCCCAAUGCUCGGAAACUGAAAGAGUAAACGUAGAAACCAAGGUUUCAUACUCAUGCUCAAGGUAAUUCAUUGCGUUGGAGAAGCAGUCAUUUUGACUGUUGAAAGUAACAGAAGAGGGAAUGGAAUAUUCAGUUGCCGGCUCUUCUUCUGCAGCUUCCAUUGGUACAGGCGUUUCUACAGACUUUGUUCGCGAUAAGAUAGUAGGAGAGGAUGUGUAAUGUGCUGAGCUGGACGCCAUGGAAGCAGACAUUUCAGACAGUAUUUUUGAGCUUGUUGCUGAUGCAAAGGCCUCCGAUUUUUCCUCGACAACACUCUCAUAAAUAUGCUGAAGUUGGGGUUUAAUAUGCAUGUCCAGAAAGGUACGCAAAAAUCUUAUAGACGUCUCAAUCAUUUGAGUGAUUGUAGCCUUAGCGGCAGGAAAAAACACAUAGCGUAAUUGCAUGUAACCAUCCAUUGCCCCUCUCUGAAUAAUGGGUUUAUAAUGGUGAUAUGCCGGUAUAGCAUGAAUCUCCCAAAAAUAUUGAAGCUUCUCGGCAAUGUCCCUCGAGAUGGUACGAACUUCUUGUACAACUCUUUGAAAAAACGGAAUCAGAACAUCAACAAUAAAAAAAUGAAUCCUUUCCUUCCCUGUUGUAUAGAGUUCACGUAAAUUAUCGCCAUCCAACACUUUAGAGCCAAUUUUCCUGGCUUUUUCGUUGAAUGCUUUUAUACAAGGUGCGACUUUUUUAUCGAUUACUUCAUUAACCUCAUAUCGAAUAUUCUCAACUUUAGGCUUUGCAUGCUCAUCGUAGUAAGACUUUACAUUAACAGUAGCCUGCUUUGCAGCAUCUACGAUAGGACUGGCUUUAGCAAUUUGAGAUUGAACAACCGUUCCGUAGGGACGGACGU